rnacentral:rRNA from 1 species
CGAGAAAGCCCGCAAGGGUGAGUAAAGCGGCGCACGGGUGCGUAACACGUGGGUAAUCUGCCCUGAAGUCCGGAAUAACUCGCCGAAAGGCGUGCUAAUGCCGGAUAAGACCACGGGAGCUCCGGCUCCUGCGGGAAAAGGUGGCCUCUGUAUACAAGCUAUCACUUCAGGAUGAGCCCGCGGCCCAUCAGCUCGUUGGCGGGGUAAUGGCCCACCAAGGCUACGACGGGUAGCUGGUCUGAGAGGACGAUCAGCCACACUGGAACUGAGACACGGUCCAGACUCCUACGGGAGGCAGCAGUGGGGAAUCUUGCGCAAUGGGCGAAAGCCUGACGCAGCAACGCCGCGUGUGUGAUGAAGGUCUUCGGAUCGUAAAGCACUGUCGCGAGGGACG